rnacentral:lncRNA from 11 species
CAUAUUUAUUGCACAUAAAAGGAAUUCAUGUUUUGUACUAAAAAGAAUGAUUACUCACCUUUGUAAAAUAAAAUGAAAUUGUGUCCUCAAGUGAGCAGUCCCAACCCCUCCCUAACCCAGAGAGUUCUUCCAGAUCUUUCAAACAUGAAUGAAAAGCCAAAAACAUUGCUUAGAGGCAAAUCCAGAAAUGUGUUUGUUAGUUUUCUCCCACCAUCUCCAACACUGGAAUAACAUCACUCAGGGUUAUAAACAUCUGUACUAGCAGAGGGAAUGUACAAUACAUUUUUAAAAAGUCAAGGCCCACAUAUCCUGUAGCUCUGCACUUUACAAACAAAAGGUUGGGGGAAGUCGAAAGAGGGGGUGGGGUACAGGGAAUAAAGGCUUAAAGAUUAAAGUCACAGGCAGAGACAGACGGCUCUGUUUUUUAAUAACUGAAAACAUGAGUUGUGCCUGAAUGUGUUCAUUGUUUUACAGAGGGGGGAAGAGGCAAUGCACGCAGGACUUACUGGCGACAGGGCUGCCUUUCCAUCAAAAGAGGCCUUGCAUCUUGGUUGGAUCCUGGAAUCCUUGAAAGAGGACAUAUUUGAUGAGAAGCGACCAUGGUUUUCUUCCUACAGUAGAGAACCACAGGCACUGGAGAGUGAAACUGCUUAAAAGAAAAUCGGAGGAAAAUGAGUCAACAUACCUUUUAAACCUGACACUUUCACAGUACUGAGAAGCCUUGAAUGUAUAUAUUUCUGAAGCCACUUUUGGCUCUGGUGUAUUAUUAUAAUUGGAAAUAUUCCAUAUUCUUAGAUUUGAUGAGAAAGGAAAUAAGAUAUACUAUUUCCUUCUAACAGUGAGUGGUAGCUUUUAUUUAAUCUCAUGCUGAAGAGGAUUUUUCACCAAGCUUCAGGAUCUUCAAAAAGGUAGCCUCACUGAGGUUUAACAAAUUAAAAUUUACAUUUUGCAAACCAGUUAGAGCCAUACAGUUAAUUGAUUAAAGAAUCUUUU